UACGGAGGGUGCAAGCGUUAUCCGGAAUUACUGGGUUUAAAGGGGGCGUAGGCGGCUGUAUAAGUCAGAGGAUAAAGGUUGUCGCUUAACGAUAGAAUUGCCUUUGAUCCUGUAUAGCUUCAUACUAGGUGAGGUUGGCGGAAUGUGACAUGUAGCGGUGAAAUGCAUAGAUAUGUCAUACAACAACGAUUGCGAAGGCAGCUGGCUAACCUAAGUUUGACGCUGAGGCACGACAGCGUGGCUAGCAAACAGG
rnacentral:rRNA from 1 species